rnacentral:rRNA from 1 species
UACGUAGGUGGCAAGCGUUGUCCGGAUUUAUUGGGCGUAAAGCGAGCGCAGGCGGUUUCUUAGGUCUGAUGUGAAAGCCUUCGGCUUAACCGGAGAAGUGCAUCGGAAACCAGGAGACUUGAGUGCAGAAGAGGACAGUGGAACUCCAUGUGUAGCGGUGAGAUGCGUAGAUAUAUGGAAGAACACCAGUGGCGAAGGCGGCUGUCUGGUCUGUAACUGACGCUGAGGCUCGAAAGCAUGGGUAGCGAACAGG